UGGGGAAUAUUGGACAAUGGGCGCAAGCCUGAUCCAGCCAUGCCGCGUGAGUGAUGAAGGCCCUAGGGUUGUAAAGCUCUUUCACCGGUGAAGAUAAUGACGGUAACCGGAGAAGAAGCCCCGGCUAACUUCGUGCCAGCAGCCGCGGUAAUACGAAGGGGGCUAGCGUUGUUCGGAUUUACUGGGCGUAAAGCGCACGUAGGCGGACUUUUAAGUCAGGGGUGAAAUCCCGGGGCUCAACCCCGGAACUGCCUUUGAUACUGGAAGUCUUGAGUAUGGUAGAAGUGAGUGGAAUUCCGAGUGUAGAGGUGAAAUUCGUAGAUAUUCGGAGGAACACCAGUGGCGAAGGCGGCUCACUAGACCAUUACUGACGCUGAGGUGCGAAAGCGUGGGGAGCAAACAGG
rnacentral:rRNA from 1 species